UACGUAGGGUGCGAGCGUUAUCCGGAAUUAUUGGGCGUAAAGAGCUCGUAGGCGGCUUGUCGCGUCGGAUGUGAAAGCCCGGGGCUUAACCCCGGGUCUGCAUUCGAUACGGGCAGGCUAGAGUUCGGUAGGGGAGAUCGGAAUUCCUGGUGUAGCGGUGAAAUGCGUAGAUAUCGGAAGGAACAUCAGUGGCGAAAGCGACUUCCUGGACCAAUACUGACGCUCAUGUGCGAAAGCGUGGGGAGCAAACAGG
rnacentral:rRNA from 1 species